rnacentral:rRNA from 1 species
UACGUAGGGUGCGAGCGUUGUCCGGAAUUAUUGGGCGUAAAGGGCGCGUAGGCGGCCUUCUAAGUCAGACGUGAAAUCCCUCGGCUCAACCGAGGAACUGCGUCUGAUACUGGAAGGCUUGAAUCCGGGAGAGGGAUGUGGAAUUCCAGGUGUAGCGGUGAAAUGCGUAGAUAUCUGGAGGAACACCGGUGGCGAAGGCGGCAUCCUGGACCGGUAUUGAACGCGUGAGGCGCGAAAGCUAGGGGAGCAAACGGG